AGGCGGAGGCAGGAGCAUGGUGAAAAUGAAACGUUACUAGAGGUAACUAACUCUAGGAUUCACGACCGGCUCGGGAACAGGCUUCAAAACAGGAGGAGAAACAGAACGAUCCGACGACGAGGAAACAAACAGACCGAACUUAAAUACAGCUGGGAAUUAACAUCAACAGGCAGCAGCGGCAGGGCAUCACGAGGGACCAUGUAAUCGACCAUGUUUGGGAGUCCUGAUAUCACACAGCAGCUCAAGGCGCUACGGAAGACCUCCAUGUCGCAGACCUCUGACCACUCAUCUGCUGUAGUGUCGUAACACUCAACGUUAUAGCAGGUGGUGUAGCCGUUGAAGCCCCCAACAACAAAGAGCCGAUUUUCAAGCACUUCAAUGCCAAAGUUGCUGCGGGUGGUGAUCAUGGGGGCCACAUUCAUCCAGAGAUCGGUCUCAGGGUUGAAGGCCUCAGCAGUGCGCAGACGCCGGUUGCCGUCGAAGCCACCAACCUGUUUGAGAGGAGGACAUGGUGCUGGUUCAGGUGUUCAGACAAGUACAUAAGGAGCAAUCUGUCAAGAAGAGUUUCAUACCAGCCGUGCUUCAAUUAACCAUCUUGGAGGAUGUUUUGUAUACCUUCUUUGAUAACAUAUGAUUUAAAAUUGGUUACUAUUACUGUUCUGUCAAAACUGGGUGUAAUUUAAACUAUGCAGUAAAUUAUAUAAAAUAAAGAUAAUGAACUAAACUUGGUAAAUUUAAUAGUGAUGCGGAUAUCAUUUGAAGUAGUAAAACUGGUUUUAAUUUAAUGCGUUUCUUGACACCCCCAGCUGUAUAAUGUAGCUCAU